GAUGAGCAUGCGUCCCAUUAGCUUGUUGGUAAGGUAACGGCUUACCAAGGCAACGAUGGGUAGGGGUCCUGAGAGGGAGAUCCCCCACACUGGUACUGAGACACGGACCAGACUCCUACGGGAGGCAGCAGUGAGGAAUAUUGGUCAAUGGGCGCAAGCCUGAACCAGCCAUGCCGCGUGCAGGAUGAAGCAUCUAUGGUGUGUAAACUGCUUUUGUACGAGAAGAAACACUCCUUCGUGAAGGAGCUUGACGGUAUCGUAAGAAUAAGGACCGGCUAACUCCGUGCCAGCAGCCGCGGUAAUACGGAGGGUCCAAGCGUUAUCCGGAAUCAUUGGGUUUAAAGGGUCCGUAGGCGGUUUUGUAAGUCAGUGGUGAAAGCCCAUCGCUCAACGGUGGAACGGCCAUUGAUACUGCAAGACUUGAAUUAUUGGGAAGUAACUAGAAUAUGUAGUGUAGCGGUGAAAUGCUUAGAGAUUACAUGGAAUACCAAUUGCGAAGGCAGGUUACUACCAAUAUAUUGACGCUGAUGGA
rnacentral:rRNA from 1 species